AUUGAACGCUGGCGGCAGGCCUAACACAUGCAAGUCGAGCGGAGCGGCGGACGGGGGAGUAAUGCCUAGGAAUCUGCCUGGUAGUGGGGGAUAACGUCCGGAAACGGGCGCUAAUACCGCAUACUAUCAGAUUAGCCUAGGUCGGAUGAGCUAGUUGGGGGGGUAAAGGCCUACCAAGGCGACGAUCCGUCACUGGUCUGAGAGGAGGAUCAGUCACACUGGAACUGGGACACGGGCCGAACUCCUACGGGGGGCAGCAGUGGGGAAUAUUGGACAUGGAGCGAAGGCCUGAUCCAGCCAUGCCGCGUGUGUGAUGAGGGUCUUCGGAUUGUAAAGCACUUUAAGUUGGGAGGCGUUACCAACAGAAUAAGCACCGGCUAACUACGUGCCAGCAGCCGCGGUAAUUC
rnacentral:rRNA from 1 species